UGUUUACGUUUCUUUAACUUGAUCUUACUGACCAUAAAGUAUUUGUGGUUGCCUUGAUUCAUGUUAAUCUUGUAACAAAUGGCUUCUAUUUUGUGAAAAAGUGCUUGCAUUUAAGUCUAUUGUGCCUAUGAUAUUACAGGAUUCCUUAUAUCACAAUUUUUCCGACGAGGAACUGAUGCGAGUUCAUGAAUAUAAUUUUGACUAUCCUGGUAAUGUCUACCUUUUCCUAAAGUUGGAGAAACAAAUAUUCAUGUAGAAUAUCUAAAAUAUGCAUGUCAUGUUGUAGUGGUAUUUUGAGUCAAAAUUCUGGCACCUGUUUGCUAAUUAUGUUGUGUAUGAAUCAGUGGGAGGAUCCUUAUAAAUUGUUUGGCAGGUCAAUCCUUCAGAUGUGAUAAUUUUGGAAGGGAUACUUUUUUCAUAUUGUUUCCAAAAAUGCUGUGAUAUAGUCUAGUUACUCAUGUAUAUGAACCAUGCAACAAAGUGGCAGCUGUAAAAGCUAAAAGACCAUCUUUACAUGCAUGAAAUCCACCCUCUCCAUAAGGGAUCUAUCUUACAACAAUUUCUGUGGAGAUUGCCAGUCUCAUUCACUAAUUUCCAUUUUACCAUCAUCAUGGGCAAAGUAGUAACUAGUUUGUAUUUCUGUAGCCAUCAUGGGAAAGGAGAAGGUUCACAAUAACAUUGUCGUCAUUGGUCAUGUCGACUCUGACAAGUCGACCA